rnacentral:rRNA from 1 species
GUGGGGGAUAUUGCACAAUGGGGGAAACCCUGAUGCAGCGACGCCGCGUGAGUGAAGAAGUAUUUCGGUAUGUAAAGCUCUAUCAGCAGGGAAGAAAGACCCGCAAGGGGGAUGACGGUACCUGAGUAAGAAGCCCCGGCUAACUACGUGCCAGCAGCCGCGGUAAUACGUAGGGGGCAAGCGUUAUCCGGAUUUACUGGGUGUAAAGGGAGCGCAGACGGUUAUGCAAGUCUGGAGUGAAAACCCACAGCUCAACUGUGGGCUUGCUUUGGAAACUGUGUAACUGGAGUACUGGAGAGGUAAGCGGAAUUCCUAGUGUAGCGGUGAAAUGCGUAGAUAUUAGGAGGAACACCGGUGGCGAAGGCGGCCACCUGGACAGGUACUGACGCUGAGGCGCGAAAGCGUGGGGAGCAAACAGGAUUAGAUACCCCUGUAGUCC